rnacentral:rRNA from 1 species
UACGUAGGGUGCAGGCGUUAAUCGGAAUUACUGGGCGUAAAGCGUGCGCAGGCGGUUUCUUAAGUCAGAUGUGAAAGCCCCGGGCUCAACCUGGGAACUGCGUUGGAGACUGCAAGGCUGGAGUCUGGCAGAGGGGGGUAGAAUUCCACGUGUAGCAGUGAAAUGCGUAGAGAUGUGGAGGAACACCGAUGGCGAAGGCAGCCCCCUGGGUCAAGACUGACGCUCAUGCACGAAAGCGUGGGGAGCAAACAGG